GAUGAACGCUGGCGGCGUGCCUAAUACAUGCAAGUCGAGCGAAUGGAUUAAGAGCUUGCUCUUAUGAAGUUAGCGGCGGACGGGUGAGUAACACGUGGGUAACCUGCCCAUAAGACUGGGAUAACUCCGGGAAACCGGGGCUAAUACCGGAUAACAUUUUGAACCGCAUGGUUCGAAAUUGAAAGGCGGCUUCGGCUGUCACUUAUGGAUGGACCCGGGUCGCAUUAGCUAGUUGGUGAGGUAACGGCUCCCCAAGGCAACGAUGCGUAGCCGACCUGAGAGGGUGAUCGGCCACACUGGGACUGAGACACGGCCCAGACUCCUACGGGAGGCAGCAGUAGGGAAUCUUCCGCAAUGGACGAAAGUCUGACGGAGCAACGCCGCGUGAGUGAUGAAGGCUUUCGGGUCGUAAAACUCUGUUGUUAGGGAAGAACAAGUGCUAGUUGAAUAAGCUGGCACCUUGACGGUACCUAACCAGACAGCCACGGCUAACUACGUGCCAGCAGCCGCCGUAA
rnacentral:rRNA from 1 species